GUGAGACAGUAAAAUGACCGUUGCUGUCUUUAAAUCUGGCUAUUUGCUGGAAAAUCCGGUGAAUUACAUGCUACUUGACAAUUUGAGAAAAUAGAGAUAUAUCAUCUCUAUGAUGUCAAGUGAUAAAGCACGGUAUGCGGAUAAUCAGCAGGUAAGCAGGAAAACAGAAGAAGAUUUACUAAUUUCCUGAAACCUCAGAGACUAUACGCCAGAUCUCGCUAAAUGCGGGAAAGAUAUAGUCCGAACUGCAUAGCGAUAUGCAG
rnacentral:ncRNA from 1 species